AACGCACAUUGCGCCCGCCAGCACUCUGGCGGGCAUGCCUGUCCGAGCGUCACUUCAACCCCUCGGCCCUGGACGGUCGCCCCCAACCCCUAGCGGGCGGGGGGCCGAGCGCCCGGGCCGGCGUUGGGGCACGGCGGCACCGCCGGCCCCGAAAUCCAGUGGCGGCCGCGCCGCGGCUCUCCCUGCGCAGUAGCAAAGCGCCUCGCAGGGGCAGCGCGGCGGGGCCACGCCCAGCGGGCGCCCCCGUGGCGCCGCACCACACACACGCAGUUGACCUCGGAUCAGGUAGGACUACCCGCUGAACUUAA
rnacentral:misc_RNA from 1 species